AGCUUGUUGGUGAGGUAACGGCUCACCAAGGCGACGAUCCCUAGCUGGUCUGAGAGGAUGACCAGCCACACUGGAACUGAGACACGGUCCAGACUCCUACGGGAGGCAGCAGUGGGGAAUAUUGCACAAUGGGCGCAAGCCUGAUGCAGCCAUGCCGCGUGUAUGAAGAAGGCCUUCGGGUUGUAAAGUACUUUCAGCGGGGAGGAAGGUGUUGUGGUUAAUAACCGCAGCAAUUGACGUUACCCGCAGAAGAAGCACCGGCUAACUCCGUGCCAGCAGCCGCGGUAAUACGGAGGGUGCAAGCGUUAAUCGGAAUUACUGGGCGUAAAGCGCACGCAGGCGGUCUGUCAAGUCGGAUGUGAAAUCCCCGGGCUCAACCUGGGAACUGCAUUCGAAACUGGCAGGCUUGAGUCUUGUAGAGGGGGGUAGAAUUCCAGGUGUAGCGGUGAAAUGCGUAGAGAUCUGGAGGAAUACCGGUGGCGAAGGCGGCCCCCUGGACAAAGACUGACGCUCAGGUGCGAAAGCGUGGGGAGCAAACAGGAUUAGAUACCCUGGUAGUCCACGCCGUAAACGAUGUCUACUUGGAGGUUGUGCCCUUGAGGCGUGGCUUCCGGAGCUAACGCGUUAAGUAGACCGCCUGGGGAGUACGGCCGCAAGGUUAAAACUCAAAUGAAUUGACGGGGGCCCGCACAAGCGGUGGAGCAUGUGGUUUAAUUCGAUGCAACGCGAAGAACCUUACCUGGUCUUGACAUCCACGGAAGUUUUCAGAGAUGAGAAUGUGCCUUCGGGAACCGUGAGACAGGUGCUGCAUGGCUGUCGUCAGCUCGUGUUGUGAAAUGUUGGGUUAAGUCCCGCAACGAGCGCAACCCUUAUCCUUUGUUGCCAGCGAUUAGGUCGGGAACUCAAAGGAGACUGCCAGUGAUAAACUGGAG
rnacentral:rRNA from 1 species